GCUGGCGGCUGCCUACACUCUCUCCUGUGACAGGGAGGUGACUUGUUUGUUCUCACAAUUCCCCCCUCUUCUUAUUUGACUGGCUGACAUUCGCUACUUUCCUGCUCUGCCGUCUCGGGAGGAUUGCUUGGCCGGCCGGUCAGUGCGGUGUCCAUUACCCUUGACUCAUCAGCUGGAGGUGAAUCCCGUGGGGCCGCAGUGACGUCCGACUGCUGUGUUGUUGGGGUGAAUGUGCAGCACUGGCCCCACCAGGACACAGCGUCCUCCUCCUUCCGCCAGAGUCGCAUCCAAGGCGACCUGUGCCUCACCCGCCGCGGGCAUCGAGCUGCUGCCCUGCCUCUGUGCGUCAGGGUGUAGAUACAGAGCCUUCCCGGUUCCAGCGAGAGGAACUCACCCACCGCAUUGCUGUGCGCAGUGGCCACCAGCAGGACAGACGCAAACCCGAGUUCCAGCCUUACGCUCCUUGGCACCCCUCCGGGAACUGUUAGGGGCAAAAAUUGAAUUGUGGGACCAGCUCUGCUUAUGGGAAAUGUCCGUUAGCCAUGACUGCCUUGUGUUGGUUAAAGAAAGGACACUCUGACCUGGCUGGGAGUUGUGCGCCCCCAGGCCCUGGAGUCCCGCCCAGCCUCCUACUUCCCCUCCUGCAGUCCCUGCUUCCCAUGUAAUCCUGUCCGACCCCAUACAAGCAGCUGGCUAAUGGGGCUGCAGAGCAGCUUUCUGUGGAUGACCUGCUGCCCUCCCACGCUGCCGGCAGGACUGGAAUAAACGCUCACAUAGGAUGCAGCCCUGUCUCUGCUGAAUUGGCUCACGCACUGACAGGCAGCAAGGACCCCUUGGUUGUCCGGUUACAUAUUCUGGUAACUACAAAGGGAUACAAGUGCGAGACUCCUCUGGGGAGGGGAACACGCCCGGGACUUGCAGAAGCCUGUGGCCAGAAAGGCUGGAGUCCCAGUGUCUGUUGGUCUGCAGCUGUGGUAGCAGGUCUUUGGCUGGAGUGACUGUAGGGUCCCGGGUUGCGUCUGAGGCCAGUCUGGGUGGUGGUGAGGCUGAUCUCUUAUUCACAGCAGCUGUGCCCUUCAAGAUCUGGAAUUCAUAUUUUAAAACUUUUAAAGGACAUAUGCAGAUUCAGAUGGUUUCACUGAAAUAUUCUACCAAUGCUUAAUGAUUAAAUGAUGGCAAUUCUAUGCAUUUUUUUUUUU